CCUACGGGAGGCAGCAGUGAGGAAUAUUGGUCAAUGGGCGCGAGCCUGAACCAGCCAAGUCGCGUGAGGGAGGACGGCCCUACGGGUUGUAAACCUCUUUUGCCGGGGAGCAACGCGCGCCACGUGUAGCGUCACUGAGAGUACCCGGAGAAAAAGCAUCGGCUAACUUCGUGCCAGCAGCCGCGGUAAUACGGAGGAUGCGAGCGUUAUCCGGAUUUAUUGGGUUUAAAGGGUGCGUAGGCGGAUUGUUAAGUCAGUGGUCAAAUUGAGGGGCUCAACCCCUUCCCGCCAUUGAAACUGGCGUUCGUGGGUGGAAGAGAAGUACGCGGAAUGCGUGGUGUAGCGGUGAAAUGCAUAGAUAUCACGCAGAACCCCGAUUGCGAAGGCAGCAUGCCGGCUUCCGACUGACGCUGAAGCACGAAAGCGUGGGGAUCGAACAGGAUUAGAUACCCGGGUAGUC
rnacentral:rRNA from 1 species